CUUACUAAGUGAGUUGUUGUCUAUGAAUAUCUUGACAAUUAACCCAUUUUAUUUAUAAAAAGAGUUAAUUGUCAAAAUUUUCACAAAAUACAUAAUAUUUACUAUUUUAUUCGAAAUAAAAAUAGAAUACGUACAUCAAUCAUGUUUUGGGGGACCUAGAUUGAAUUCAAAUUAGAUUAAUACACUUGCUUAAUGUAGUGUAAAUAUAAAAACGUCUUGCCAAUUAUAACCUAUUACCUUAUGAAUAUUGUUAAAAUGAUAUUGAUUUUGACCGUAAAGCCCAUCUGGCAAAGGGGCCACUUAAAGCACGAAACAAACGAUACCUAGCAUCUGGAUAUAUUAUCACAAUUUAAGAAUAUUAUCUUAACAAAAAGAUCAUGUUACUCUUAAGUGAUACUCUCAGCAAAUGGUCUAAGGAUUCAAACUAAAGAGAUGGAUAGAUAUCUUAAAUUUCAAAAUGUUACUAAAGCCAUCAGUGGUAGUCGUCAAGAACGAGGCAGAUAAUGACCAAUGAUUGAAAAGAAGAUAUAUUAAACUGAGAUCAACAAUUGAUUUAUAUAAAAAUUUUAUAACUGUGUUUAAGAUAAAUGUGUACUUCAUAAUAUUUUCUUUUUGUAUUUAAUAAUAUUAUAUUAAAAAAUCUACUAUUUAUUUAAUGACUGCCUAAUAAAACCGUAGUAACCUUAAAUACAUGGCUAAGCAGAACUAAAAAAUAUAUAUGCUGCGUUUCUGUAUAGGUAAAUAAAAGAACAGAAUAAUAACUUACACAACAUGAUUUAAUACAAACUUAAACUUAAGUAUAAUAAAAACUAAUCAAACCCAGCCUCACAUAGAGCUAAUCAAUUACUACUUUA